rnacentral:rRNA from 1 species
AUUGAACGCUGGCGGCAGGCUUAACACAUGCAAGUCGAGCGAGCGGCGGACGGGUUAGUAAUGUCUGGGAAACUGCCUGAUGGAGGGGGAUAACUACUGGAAACGAUAGCUAAUACCGCAUACCCUCAGAUGUGCCCCAAUUGGAUUAGAUAGGAGGUGGGGGAAUGGCUCACCUAGGCGACGAACCCUCGCUGGUCUGAGAGGAUGACCAGCCAAUCUGGAACUGAGACACGGUCCAGACUCCUACGGGAGGAAGCAGUGGGGAAUAUGGCACAAUGGGCGCAAGCCGUAUGCAGCCAUGCCGCGUGUGUGAAGAAGGCCUUCGGGUUGUAAAGCACUGUCAGCGAGGAGGCGUUACUCGCAGAAGAAGCACCGGCUAACUCCGUGCCAGCAGCCGCGGUAAUAC